AACCUGCCCUGUACACACGGAUAACAUACCGAACGGUAUGCUAAUACGGGAUAACAUAAGAAAUUCGCAUGUUUUUCUUAUCAAAGCUCCGGCGGUACAGGAUGGACCCGCGUCUGAUUAGCUAGUUGGUGAGGUAACGGCUCACCAAGGCGACGAUCAGUAGCCGACCUGAGAGGGUGAUCGGCCACAUUGGAACUGAGACACGGUCCAAACUCCUACGGGAGGCAGCAGUGGGGAAUAUUGCACAAUGGGCGAAAGCCUGAUGCAGCAACGCCGCGUGAGCGAUGAAGGCCUUCGGGUCGUAAAGCUCUGUCCUCAAGGAAGAUAAUGACGGUACUUGAGGAGGAAGCCCCGGCUAACUACGUGCCAGCAGCCGCGGUAAUACGUAGGGGGCUAGCGUUAUCCGGAUUUACUGGGCGUAAAGGGUGCGUAGGCGGUCUCUUAAGUCAGGAGUGAAAGGCUACGGCUCAACCGUAGUAAGCUCUUGAAACUGGAGGACUUGAGUGCAGGAGAGGAGAGUGGAAUUCCUAGUGUAGCGGUGAAAUGCGUAGAUAUUAGGAGGAACACCAGUAGCGAAGGCGGCUCUCUGGACUGUAACUGACGCUGAGGCACGAAAGCGUGGGGAGCAAACAGGAUUAGAUACCCUGGUAGUCCACGCCGUAAA
rnacentral:rRNA from 1 species